GAUCUUUUCGCUAAUCGUCUACCGUCGGCCUCUUUUGUCCAAAUCUCUAUUGGUUUAUGAAAAAGAGGGGAAGAGAGAGAGAUGAAGGCUUCAAGACCUAGCUAGAAUGGAGAAAAAUUUACAGCUAGCAACAAUGAGCAGGAAAAACAAUCAGCUCAAGUCUUCGAUUCUUCACUCGUAACACUUCCUUCGAAAUCCAAGUUGGUUGUGGUUAGAGGAAUUCAAGUUCUUGAGAGUGGCGGAAUCACGGGAACAUCAUAUGUUGUCCUUGCUGGGCUCAUUUCAACUUUGAAAGUACUUGGUGGAGCGUUAAUUGACCAGACUUUCUUGUUCCUAGGCGCCAGAGAGGUUGGAACUGGAAUAGUUGAGCUUAUUGCACUUGAAAUUUCAAAGAAGUCAGGGGUUGCGCUAGAUGAAAUUCGAAAAAAGAUUUGAGUUGUCGACUCAAAGGCACUUGCACUAAUCUCAUCAAUUUUGACUAGCUUCAUAAUAAUGCACAUUUUCUUUACUACUGCCAUGAACUUACCAUUUUCACCGGUAAAACUUGUUUGGCUUUAUAUCAGGGACUGAUUGUGAAUUCUCAAUUAGAAAUGCUUCAGCACUUCAAAAGGCCUUGGGCUCACGAACACUGUUGAUAACUGCAACAACCCGGGUUCCACUUGAGCAAGCAAGGCAUGGAUUGACACCAACACCAAUUGCGAAAACUAGAGAAUGAUCAACACUCAGCGGGGUGUUUGCUGGGUAGAGUCUCGAAUUCAAGCUUUUGAGGGAGCCCGUGAAAGAAAUUGUCACUGGCGUGGUGUCUGCGAAAAUCUUGUAUACUAAAGUUUGCUUGCUAUAGAGAUGGCAAAGAGUUUAUUCAAGCAACAGCAUGAACUUGGUUUGUAUAAUUUUCCUUUGUGUUUGUGUAUUAGCUAUUUAGCUGAAUUGGUGUUAAUUUUCUGAGUGGAAUAAUUUCAAAGAAGAGGCGGGUUGAGGCUGGCCGGAUUGGGGAAAAAUGAUUAUGAAUCCCGGCAUGCAUCAGGGAAGGUCCAAGACAUGACUGGAUCAGGCCUGAAAUCAAGUCCAUUUACGACUCCCCGCUUCUCGAUCUCCUCUUUCACGGCGCUCAAGUUCAUAGGCAUGCUCUCAACUUCUGGGAGGUACAUCAGUGCACUCUUCUGUCUAUAAAGACGGGAGGUUGCAGCGAGGACUGCUCUUACUGUCCUCAAUCCUCCAGGUACAACACUGGUGUCAAAGCCACAAGCUUAUGGGCAAGGAUUCCAUUCUAGAGGCAGCAAAAAAGGCAAAAGAGGCCGGUAGCACUUGAUUUUGUAUUGGUGCUGCAGGGAGGGAUACUAUAGGAAGGAAAACCAAUUUCAACCAAAUCCUUGACUAUGUGAAACAAAUAAGAACAAUGCUGGAAGGAAGUGGCUUAGGAUAUUUCAACAGGAUUGGAUCUUCCUUCAGAAUAACUUGCCUGGACUUUGAAGAACUUUUCAAAGAGCACUUCAGGAGGCGCUGUUAUUACAUUCUCAAAGCAUGUGAUGCCUAUAUUGAGAAAUUUGCUCCUUUGGAUGAGUGAAGAGACCAAAUGGAGCUCCAUACAUCAACCAAGGUGUGGGAUGCGGGGAAAUUAUGUUGCUGAUAAUAGGCAAGGAGAUGAUGAAGUGAUUGGUGCGCCCGUGCGAGAAAUAGCCUGCCGAUGCGAAGUGGCAAGGGCGCAAGUCGGGUAGCCUUGGCACGAUUUGGGGCGCGAAACGUCUUGGUGUGUUUUGGCGGGACUUAGUGCGAACCUUGGGGUUUGGGUUCCAGCCAGUCAAGCGAUUAAGCAGAGUGGAUAAGGAUCAGAUUUUGCAAUUCAAAUGCUUUUAUCUGAUUGGCUAGGCAAUUGGUCUUGUAACCGUCGUCCCUCUAUAAAUAGCGUGUCCAUGGCAUUUUGUAGGAAGUGUUGAGAGUUUUGGUUGUGAGUAGGCCUAUGAGUGUGUAAGGGCAAAUUAUUGUAUCAACAAUAUUAAUGUACUUUAUG